rnacentral:rRNA from 1 species
UACAGAGGCCCCAAGCAUUAUCCGGAAUCACUGGGCGUAAAGGGUGUGUAGGCGGCGCUAUUAGUCCUUCGUAAAAGCACUUGGGCUCAACCCAGGUAAUGCGGAGGAAACGGUAGCGCUUGAGGACGCGAGAGGUUGAGGGAACUCAUGGUGUAGGGGUGAAAUCCGUUGAUAUCAUGGGGAACACCAAAUGCGAAGGCACUCAACUGGCGCGCUCCUGACGCUGAGACACGAAAGCGUGGGUAGCGAACGGG